rfam:Gossypium arboreum cultivar AKA8401 contig_78359_1, whole genome shotgun sequence.
AUUCUGUGAUGAGGGCACUUCAUUAAUAAUUAUUUGUACAUUCCCAUGCCUCAUGCAAGGACUCAUCAUCCAUUUGUUGGAAAGCAGUGAUUUCGUUCCUCAACUU